UACGUAGGGUGCAAGCGUUAAUCGGAAUUACUGGGCGUAAAGCGUGCGCAGGCGGUUAUGUAAGACAGGUGUGAAAUCCCCCGGGCUUAACCUCGGGAACGUGCAUUUGUGACUUGCAUAGCUAGAGUAACGGUAGAGGGGGAUGGAAUUCCGGCGUGUAGGCAGUGAAAUGCGUAGAUAUGACGGAGGAACAGCCGAUGGCGAA
rnacentral:rRNA from 1 species